CCAUACAAGAAACCCAAAUUAACUGUCCAUCCGGCGUAAAGAGUGGCCAGAUGUUAUCCCCCCAACUAGGAUCAAAGUGCAACUAAGCUGUCAUAAGCCCAAGGCGCACCUAAACCCACCCCAAGAUCCUAGCUUCUACGACUAAUUUCAACCCACGAAAGCUAGGACACAAACUGGGAUUAGAUACCCCACUAUGCCUAGCCCUAAAUCUAGAUACUUCCCCUACCAAAGUACUCGCCCGAGAACUACGAGCACAAACGCUUAAAACUCUAAGGACUUGGCGGUGUCCCAAACCCACCUAGAGGAGCCUGUUCUAUAACCGAUAACCCACGAUGCACCCAACCACCUCUUGCUUAUGCAGCCUACAUACCGCCGUCGCCAGCUCACCUCCCCUGAGAGUUCCACAGUGAGCUCAAUAGUCCUUUACCCACUAGCAAGACAGGUCAAGGUAUAGCCUAUGAGGUGGAAGAAAUGGGCUACAUUUCCUAACAUAGGACAUACGGAACAGGGGCGUGAAACCGCCCCUAGAAGGAGGAUUUAGCAGUAAAGCUGAACAAUAGAGUCUACUUUAAACUGGCUCUGGGAUACGUACAUACCGCCCGUCACCCUCUUCACAGGCCUAUCCACCCACAUAAGUAAUCAACUCCACAAUAAGCCAAAGACGAGGUAAGUCGUAACAA
rnacentral:rRNA from 1 species